rnacentral:rRNA from 1 species
AGAGUUUGAUCAUGGCUCAGAUUGAACGCUGGCGGCAGGCCUAACACAUGCAAGUCGAACGGUAACAGGAAGCAGCUUGCUGCCUCGCUGACGAGUGGCGGACGGGUGAGUAAUGUCUGGGAAGCUGCCUGAUGGAGGGGGAUAACUACUGGAAACGGUAGCUAAUACCGCAUAAUGUCGCAAGACCAAAGAGGGGGACCUUCGGGCCUCUUGCCAUCGGAUGUGCCCAGAUGGGAUUAGCUUGUUGGUGGGGUAACGGCUCACCAAGGCGACGAUCCCUAGCUGGUCUGAGAGGAUGACCAGCCACACUGGAACUGAGACACGGUCCAGACUCCUACGGGAGGCAGCAGUGGGGAAUAUUGCACAAUGGGCGCAAGCCUGAUGCAGCCAUGCCGCGUGUAUGAAGAAGGCCUUCGGGUUGUAAAGUACUUUCAGCGGGGAGGAAGGGAGUAAAGUUAAUACCUUUGCUCAUUGACGUUACCCGCAGAAGAAGCACCGGCUAACUCCGUGCCGGCAGCCGCGGUAAUACGGAGGGUGCAAGCGUUAAUCGGAAUUACUGGGCGUAAAGCGCACGCAGGCGGUUUGUUAAGUCAGAUGUGAAAUCCCCGGGCUCAACCUGGGAACUGCAUCUGAUACUGGCAAGCUUGAGUCUCGUAGAGGGGGGUAGAAUUCCAGGUGUAGCGGUGAGAUGCGUAGAGAUCUGGAGGAAUACCGGUGGCGAAGGCGGCCCCCUGGACGAAGACUGACGCUCAGGUGCGAAAGCGUGGGGAGCAAACAGGAUUAGAUACCCUGGUAGUCCACGCCGUAAACGAUGUCGACUUGGAGGUUGUGCCCUUGAGGUGUGGCUUCCGGAGCUAACGCGUUAAGUCGACCGCCUGGGGAGUACGGCCGCAAGGUUAAAACUCAAAUGAAUUGACGGGGGCCCGCACAAGCGGUGGAGCAUGUGGUUUAAUUCGAUGCAACGCGAAGAACCUUACCUGGUCUUGACAUCCACGGAAGUUUUCAGAGAUGAGAAUGUGCCUUCGGGAACCGUGAGACAGGUGCUGCAUGGCUGUCGUCAGCUCGUGUUGUGAAAUGUUGGGUUAAGUCCCGCAACGAGCGCAACCCUUAUCCUUUGUUGCCAGCGGUCCGGCCGGGAACUCAAAGGAGACUGCCAGUGAUAAACUGGAGGAAGGUGGGGAUGACGUCAAGUCAUCAUGGCCCUUACGACCAGGGCUACACACGUGCUACAAUGGCGCAUACAAAGAGAAGCGACCUCGCGAGAGCAAGCGGACCUCAUAAAGUGCGUCGUAGUCCGGAUUGGAGUCUGCAACUCGACUCCAUGAAGUCGGAAUCGCUAGUAAUCGUGGAUCAGAAUGCCACGGUGAAUACGUUCCCGGGCCUUGUACACACCGCCCGUCACACCAUGGGAGUGGGUUGCAAAAGAAGUAGGUAGCUUAACCUUCGGGAGGGCGCUUACCACUUUGUGAUUCAUGACUGGGGUGAAGUCGAAACAAGGUAACCGUAGGGGAACCUGCGGUUG